UGGGGAAUAUUGCACAAUGGGCGCAAGCCUGAUGCAGCAACGCCGCGUGAGUGAUGAAGGUCUUCGGGUUGUAAAGCUCUGUCUUUUGGGACGAUAAUGACGGUACCAAAGGAGGAAGCCACGGCUAACUACGUGCCAGCAGCCGCGGUAAUACGUAGGUGGCAAGCGUUGUCCGGAUUUACUGGGCGUAAAGGAUGCGUAGGCGGAUUUUUAAGUGAGAUGUGAAAACCCUAAGCUUAACUUGGGGACUGCAUUUCAUACUGGAAAUCUAGAGUGCGGGAGAGGAGAAUGGAAUUCCUAGUGUAGCGGUGAAAUGCGUAGAGAUUAGGAAGAACACCAGUGGCGAAGGCGAUUCUCUGGACCGUAACUGACGCUGAGGCAUGAAAGCGUGGGUAGCAAACAGGAUUAGAUACCCUGGUAGUCCACGCCGUAAACGAUGAGUACUAGGUGUAGGAGGUAUCGACCCCUUCUGUGCCGCAGUUAACACAAUAAGUACUCCGCCUGGGAAGUACGAUCGCAAGAUUAAAACUCAAAGAAAUUGACGGGGUCAUAGCUGUUUUCCU
rnacentral:rRNA from 1 species